rnacentral:lncRNA from 1 species
CCCCACCAACAUCUUAAUGUACUGUAUCACUCACUCUCAGACACGGAACUAAAAGUAGCCACUGGCUUCAACUGCUUGUUUGAAAAGGAAAAGCAAAAAUGAGAGAGAGAACAGAAAUGAUGACAGUUCUCCCUUCCAUCCAGGUCUAUACCAAAGAUCUUCUCCAGGGAUAACUCCUGAUUCAAUUAAGCUCACCUGAUUACAUCUGCACAUGCUGAUGUGUAGCCGGCCUCCUGCCCAGCUUCUGCUCUCUCCUACUUGAUGUCCCUCCAUGCUCCAAAAUCUUCUCCUGUCAGAUGCGAGAGUCCAAUUCACUGUGUUUCAGGCAAAGUGAAUGCCAUGUUGUCACUGAAGCUUGCAAUGGUGCGAAGGACAUCCGAGAAGAGGAGUAUUUCUGAAAGAGAGAAAGACACAGCAGAAUCCUGGGAUAAAUCUCGCUGUCUUCUCGAAGUCUUUUCUUUUUUCCAUUCCAUUCUCUAAAUAUCCCUGGCCCACUCUCUCAUCCUCUUUCUACUUUCUUCCUUCCUUUUUCACCUGUGCCCCAAACUGUAUAUUUAAAAUCUUGAAGUGUUAAUUCUGCACAGGACUUGAAAUAUUUAACACUUUUGUUUUUAAUACAUGAGAAAAAUCAGAUCUAUAGGAAAGGAAACAACUUGACCAGUUUGAACAGAUAAUUAAUAGGCUAUAGUCCUCUCUCAAAUGUUUAUUGAUGACACAUAUGGAUGAAGAUGGGAAUGUACACACAUGUGCACACGCACACACACACACACACACACACAUAUUGACUGGUUGAAACACGACAGUUUUCCAGCACCUAGGAAUUAAAUGAGGGUGCAUUAUUUAUCCCUACCCUUACCUCAAUAUCCAUUUUAGGAAGGGUUAGAAAUUAAUUUACAUUAUUGAGCAUACCAAGGGCUUUGAGAAAGUACAUAAACAUGAAAUUCAAAUUCUUCACUUCUUUAUCCUGGAGGCUCAAUUUUCCCAACACUAAAAUGAGGAUAUUAACACUGAACAUGGGAAUUGUUGAAUUGAUCACUGAAAUAGAUGCUCUGUUAAAGGCCUAGCUCAGUUUAUGUGCUUAAGAUUCUUAACUUAGAAACCAAACUGCCCCUGGAAUGGGCUCUGGUGGUCCUUACAUGAAUAAAAGGCAUCCAUAACCCCUUUGAUUUUUUGAGUGUUCCUUUGCAUAUGAACAUUCAAAAAGUAC